AGGACAAGGCCAGGACAAGACAUCGGCCCAUGGCUGGGGAUCAGGGUCAGGCCUGGUGAAGGGAAGCAGAGUCAGUCAAAAAAAUGGAAGGACAGGUAGGUCUUCAGGGUUGAGCAGAGGUGGUGUUGGAAUGUGGGAAUGUGAGUGGGCCUAGCUCGGUAAGGCCCAUGUCUUGGCACGGGGAACCGGAGUCCAGCCCUGUUGCAGCAUUGCCGGGGCAGUGGCAGAGGGUCCUGGGCACUAAAAUGGUGUCCUGAGUCACAGGCAGGGUGGGGAAGGCCCCAGACAUUAAAGCCCAUUAUUGCACUCACGUUCCUUUCAGAUGUUCAUAGCAACUGAGGUGUAUGUGCACAGAUUAUCAGAGAAACCAAAUUUGUCUCAUGUGCAAGUAAUAUCAUUAGAAAUAUUAGAGGCAGAUUCAUCAAUAUUUGGGACUUCAUAAGUGAAACCAAAAAAGAACAAGUUAGAGCAUGGAGACAAACAGUUCUACUGUAAUUCAAUCUUAAUAAGAAAUUGUCAAUUCCUAAUAAAGUCUUUUCCAGUCUA